GGUUAACUGACUUUGCCCAGAGUGACAUAGCUGGGCUUAAGCAGAAAUUCCCUUUUUAUAAGCAACCUCUAUUUCCUCUUUGGUUCCUCAGUUGAUUCUCUUUGCGAUCUGUGUCCAUGUGGGUUUCCAGGUUUGAGCUGCUGAAUGAAGUCAUGGGAACCAGAAGAUUUAGGAGCUACAAGUCUAGGGAGACAUACAGACCCAUUCAGAUGGCUCCAAACACCAACUUUUUCAUACAUCUAUCAGCAGCUACAGAAAGAACUACUACUGUUUGGCAACACCUGUGGACUUAAAUUUUCCAGUUUUAGCUUUUGAGUAGCUUGCAAAUGAGUAGCAAGAAGCCCUUUCAUAUCACAAUGAAAAGAUAUUAAAAUGGUCCAAAAACA